UACGUAGGGGGCUAGCGUUGUCCGGAAUCAUUGGGCGUAAAGCGCGUGUAGGCGGCCCGGUAAGUCCGCUGUAAAAGUCAAAGGCUCAACCUUUGAAUGUCAGUGGAUACUGUCGGGCUAGAGUCCGGAAGAGGCGAGUGGAACUCCUGGUGUAGCGGUGGAAUGCGCAGAUAUCAGGAAGAACACCAACGGCGAAGGCAGCUCGCUGGGACGGUACUGACGCUGAGGCGCGAAAGCGUGGGGAGCGAACAGG
rnacentral:rRNA from 1 species